rnacentral:rRNA from 1 species
ACAGAGGAGACAGGUGGUGCAUGGUUGUCGUCAGCUCGUGUCGUGAGAUGUUGGGUUAAGUCCCGCAACGAGCGCAACCCCUAUCCCCAGUAGCCAGCAUUAAAGGUGGGCACUCUGAGGAGACUGCCAGGGAUAACCUGGAGGAAGGCGGGGAUGACGUCAAAUCAUCAUGCCCCUUAUGAUUUGGGCUACACACGUGCUACAAUGGCGUAAACAAAGGGAAGCAGAGCGGUGACGCCGAGCAAAUCCCAAAAAUAACGUCCCAGUUCGGACUGCAGUCUGCAACUCGACUGCACGAAGCUGGAAUCGCUAGUAAUCGCGGAUCAGAAUGCCGCGGUGAAUACGUUCCCGGGUCUUGUUACACACCGA